UACGAAGGGGGCUAGCGUUGUUCGGAAUUACUGGGCGUAAAGCGCACGUAGGCGGAUAUUUAAGUCAGGGGUGAAAUCCCGGGGCUCAACCUCGGAACUGCCUUUGAUACUGGGUAUCUUGAGUAUGGAAGAGGUAAGUGGAAUUGCGAGUGUAGAGGUGAAAUUCGUAGAUAUUCGCAGGAACACCAGUGGCGAAGGCGGCUUACUGGUCCAUUACUGACGCUGAGGUGCAAAAGCGUGGGGAGCAAACAGG
rnacentral:rRNA from 1 species